GUAGUUGACUCCUGGCUACAGGACGACGCUGGCGGCGUGCUUAACACAUGCAAGUCGAACGGGGACUUCGGUCCUAGUGGCGAACGGGUGAGUAACGCGUAAGCAACCUGCCUUUAAGUUGGGGGACAACAGCUCGAAAGGGCUGCUAAUACCGAAUGUUGUACAGAAUCUGCAUGGAGUUUGUACUAAAGAUUUAUCGCUUAAAGAGGGGCUUGCGUCCGAUUAGCUUGUUGGUAGGGUAACGGCCUACCAAGGCGACGAUCGGUAACCGGUCUGAGAGGAUGAACGGUCACAUUGGAACUGAGACACGGUCCAGACUCCUACGGGAGGCAGCAGUGGGGAAUAUUCCACAAUGGGCGAAAGCCUGAUGGAGCGACGCCGCGUGAGUGAAGAAGGGCUUCGGCUCGUAAAGCUCUUUUCUCGUUGACGAAUGGCGCCUUAUAGGCGAAGAGACGGUAGAUGAGGAAUAAGCCACGGCUAACUACGUGCC
rnacentral:rRNA from 1 species